CCUACGGGAGGCAGCAGUGAGGAAUAUUGGUCAAUGGACGAGAGUCUGAACCAGCCAAGUAGCGUGAAGGAUGACUGCCCUAUGGGUUGUAAACUUCUUUUAUAUGGGAAUAAAACGUUCCACGUGUGGGAUUUUGUAUGUACCAUAUGAAUAAGGAUCGGCUAACUCCGUGCCAGCAGCCGCGGUAAUACGGAGGAUCCGAGCGUUAUCCGGAUUUAUUGGGUUUAAAGGGAGCGUAGGUGGAUUGUUAAGUCAGUUGUGAAAGUUUGCGGUUCAACCGUAAAAUUGCAGUUGAAACUGGCAGUCUUGAGUACAGUGGAGGUGGGCGGAAUUCGUGGUGUAGCGGUGAAAUGCUUAGAUAUCACGAAGAACUCCGAUUGCGAAGGCAGUUCACUGGACUGCAACUGACACUGAGGCUCGAAAGUGUGGGUAUCAAACAGGAUUAGAUACCCGUGUAGUC
rnacentral:rRNA from 1 species